rnacentral:rRNA from 1 species
AUUGAACGCUGGCGGCAUGCCUUACACAUGCAAGUCGAACGGCAGCACGGGUGCUUGCACCUGGUGGCGAGUGGCGAACGGGUGAGUAAUAUAUCGGAACGUACCUUAUUGUGGGGGAUAACGCAGCGAAAGCUGUGCUAAUACCGCAUAAUCCCUAAGGGGGAAAGCGGGGGACCGUAAGGCCUCGCGCAAUUAGAGCGGCCGAUACCUGAUUGGCUAGUUGGUGAGGUAAAGGCUCACCAAGGCAACGAUCAGUAGCUGGUCUGAGAGGACGAUCAGCCACACUGGGACUGAGACACGGCCCAAACUCCUACGGGGGGCAGCAGUGGGGAAUUUUGGACAAUGGGGGCAACCCUGAUCCAGCAAUGCCGCGUGAGUGAAGAAGGCCUUCGGGUUGUAAAGCUCUUUUGUCAGGGAAGAAACACCGGCUCUAACACAGCCCGGGAAUGACGGUACCUGAAGAAUAAGCACCGGCUAACUACGUGCCAGCAGCCGCCGUAA